rnacentral:rRNA from 1 species
ACCCACCUGCUCCUAACAGCUAGCCUACCCCCUAAGCCCAACAAACAAACAUAAAUUAACCCCAAACACCCAAAAACAACAUAACAAACCAUUUUACCCCCCUAGUAUAGGUGAAAAAAAAGGAUCUAAGAGCAAUAGAAAAAGUACCGCAAGGGAAAGCUGAAAGAGAAAUGAAACAACCCAGUGAAGAGAAAAGAAGCAAAGAUUUCCCCUUGUACCUUUUGCAUCAUGAGUUAGCCAGAAACCUUCAAGCAAAGUGCCCUUUAGUUUGAACCCCCGAAACUGAGCGAGCUACUCCAAGACUGCCUAUUAGGGCUAACCCGUCUCUGUGGCAAAAGAGUGGGAUGAGCUUUGAGUAGAGGUGACAGACCUAACGAGCCCAGUUAUAGCUGGUUGCCUACAAAAUGAAUAGAAGUUCAGCCUUUUGGCUUCUUGACUUAAACCUGGCAAACACCCUAAACUAAUGCUAAGAAACCAAAAAAGUUAUUCAAAGGGGGUACACCCCCUCUGAAAAAAGAUACAACUUUAUCAAGCAGGCUAAAGAUCAGAUUUACCAAAGGCAACAUACCUCAGUAGGCCUAAAAGCAGCCACCCACACAGAAAGCGUUAAAGCUCAAGUACUUUGCCCCUCCCCCAAUCCCGACAAUAACAUCUUAAGCCCCUUAAUUAAAUAGUAGGCCCACUUAUGCAAUCAUAAGAGAGAUACUGCUAACAUGAGUAAUAAGGGGGCCAAGACCCCCUCCAAGGCACCUGUAUACAUCAGAACGAACUCACACUGAAAAUUAACGUCCCCAACCCCAGAGGGUAAUGAGAAAGCCAAAUAAACCCAGAAAACCUCUCAAACCCUAAACGUUAGCCCCACACAGGUGUGCCCUAGGAAAGACUGAAAGAAAAAGAAGGAACUCGGCAAACACUGGCCUCGCCUGUUUACCAAAAACAUCGCCUCUUGCAUCUAAACUUAUAAGAGGUCCUGCCUGCCCUGUGACUUGAUAGUUUAACGGCCGCAGUAUUUUGACUGUGCGAAGGUAGCGUAAUCACUUGUCUUUUAAAUGGAGACCAGUAUGAAUGGCAUAACGAGGGCCAAGCUGUCUCCUUUUUCUAGUCAAUGAAAUUGAUCCUCCCGUGCAGAAGCGGGAAUCUUCCCAUAAGACGAGAAGACCCUAUGGAGCUUCAGACACAAGACAGCCCAUGUUAAAAAACCAAAUUAACAGAAACAACAAAAUGACAUCUGUCCUAAUGUCUUUGGUUGGGGCGACCAUGGAGUAACAAAAAACCCCCAUGUGGAAUGGGGCCUACCCCCUUUAAGCCAGAGCCACAGCUCUCACUAAUAGAACAUCUAACCAACAAGAUCCGGCAAAGCCGAUCAACGGACCUAGUUACCCUAGGGAUAACAGCGCAAUCCCCUUUUAGAGCCCAUAUCGACAAGGGGGUUUACGACCUCGAUGUUGGAUCAGGACAUCCUAAUGGUGCAGCUGCUAUUAAGGGUUCGUUUGUUCAACGAUUAAAGUCCUACGUGAUCUGAGUUCAGACCGGAGAAAUCCAGGUCAGUUUCUAUCUAUGAAAUGCUCUUUCCUAGUACGAAAGGACCGAAAAGAGAAGGCCCAUACUGUAAGUAAGCCUCAUCCUCACCUAAUGAAUACAACUAAAUUAGGUAAAAGGACAUACCUCUCCCCACCCAAGAAAAAGGUAA